GCUGGAGGUGUUGGCCGAGGGCCGUGGAGCGCACAGACCAUCAAUUAAUGCGCCAUUACGAGGUGCCAGGGUGUGUGUGUGUGUGUGUGUGUGUGAAGCUCAGAUCUAAUUAUUCCCGGCUGUCCUCAUAGUGGGGACGGAGUCAUUUAGACGGACUGCUGGUGCUUUUCAUUGCUGCAGUACCUCUCACUGUUCCUUUACAUCUCUCUCUCUCUCUCCCCCUCUCAUCCUUCCACGCGCCCUGCCUCACCCCACCUCUCUCUCCUCCUCCUCCUCCUCCUUCGUCCCUCCUCCCCCCUCCACCCAUCCACCUCUACCUCUGUAUCCCUCUCUCUCCGCUUGCAGAUCCCACAUCACACCACACGCUCUCCCUUUCUCUUUCUCCUCUCCUUCUUCUUCUUCUUCUCUCUCUCUCUCUCUCCCUCUCACUCUCUCGCUCGGCUCGACACCGGCUGUCAGUUUGUUUUGCCGCGGCGGAGCAACACCUUGCGAGGACAAGAGAACGUGGAAGAGUGGAAGGAGAGAAAGUGGUGGAGGACCGGGGGGGAGGAGGUGAAGAUGAGAAAAGGAAGAGGAGGAGGGGAUCUUUUGUUACUCAUCCAUCCCUCCCCUCAUCCCCUCUCUUAGGGCAGCAUCAGCACCACUAACCUGCUCCCCCGCUGCUGGAUCCUCCGUGUCCCGCCGGGAUCUGCCUCCGUCUUCUCCUCAGGGAGGGGGGGGGAUCUCCCUCCCCCUCCCACCUUGCCACGGACCCUCGGCAAAAGGCGUCGGGAAGGAAAGGGGAGGGAUUUUUUUUUCCAAAGAGGUCGUUGGGAGACCAGAGGAGAGGCAACACCCUGGGUUACAGGAGAGGAGAAGAAGAGAGGACCUCAUGAUGCUGGGUCCAGCGGAAGCGGCAGCACCGGGGAAGACAGAUGUUCCCGCCGGAGGCCCCCAGAAGACAGAGGCGGCGUCCAGAGGACGCGCUGGUGGGAGCAGGCCCCGCCUCCAAGCGACGUGACGGCCACACGCGCUCUGCCUGUGUGUGUGUGUGUCUGUGUGGCAGGAGGGGGGCUGAAGGGUGGCCGCCGAUGGCCACGGUGGCAGUGGUGACUCACGCAGUUUGUCGGCGUAGCUCCCCCCCC